rnacentral:tRNA from 1 species
UGGCCGGUGGCUCAGCUGGUUAGAGCAUUGUCCUGACAUGCCAAGGUUGCAGGUUCGAUCCCCGGUCAA